UACGAAGGGAGCUAGCGUUGUUCGGAAUCACUGGGCGUAAGGCGCACGUAGGCGGAUGUGUCAGUCAGGGGUGAAAUCCCGGAGCUCAACUUCGGAACUGCCUUUGAUACAGCACGUCUUGAGUCCGAUAGAGGUGGGUGGAAUUCCUAGUGUAGAGGUGAAAUUCGUAGAUAUUAGGAAGAACACCGGUGGCGAAGGCGGCCCACUGGAUCGGUACUGACGCUGAGGUGCGAAAGCGUGGGGAGCAAACAGG
rnacentral:rRNA from 1 species